UAGUACUAAUACCAAAGAUAAGGUAAGAGAGAACUUUGAUGUUAUCUUACUAGUAGUCUCGUCUAAUUUACUGGUGCCAGAAGACUCGGUAACGCCAGAGAGGCUAACGUUAAUCAUCUUAAACAGGCGUAAAGGAUAUGUAGGCAGCUUAUUAUAAAAAAUAUAGCUAGAAUUAGAAAGAUGUUGAGCCAUACAACGUUUAGACCAUGUUUAAAAUCAUUAGAAUCUAGAUAGAGUUCUAACGGCGAAAGCUUAUCAACAAAUAGUGAUUGACGCUGAGAUAUGAAGGUUUGACCAACAAAACAGAUUAGAUACCUGAGUAGUUCAAACAGUCAACAAUGAUUGGUAGACAUUAAUACAAAAUUAUAUGAUCAAUGCUAACGCAUGUAACCAAUCCGCCUUGUGACUACGGUUGCAAUAUUAAAAACAAAAAAAUGAGUCGUCUCGA
rnacentral:rRNA from 1 species